rnacentral:rRNA from 1 species
GACACGACUCUCGGCAACGGAUAUCUCGGCUCUCGCAUUGAUGAAGAACGUAGCGAAAUGCGAUACCUGGUGUGAAUUGCAGAAUCCCGCGAACCAUCGAGUCUUUGAACGCAAGUUGCGCCCGAGGCCACCCGGUCGAGGGCACGCCUGCCUGGGCGUCACG